rnacentral:rRNA from 1 species
AGCGCAGGCGGUUUUUUAAGUCUGAUGUGAAAGCCUUCGGCUCAACCGAAGAAGUGCAUCGGAAACUGGAAAACUUGAGUGCAGAAGAGGACAGUGGAACUCCAUGUGUAGCGGUGAAAUGCGUAGAUAUAUGGAAGAACACCAGUGGCGAAGGCGGCUGUCUGGUCUGUAACUGACGCUGAGGCUGAAAGUAUGGGUAGCAAACA